CUCCAACUCUUCACAGCCGAUUGCCACAUAAAGUUCUUUGGCAAGACAAAGGUGGAGAAACCUCUCUCCUACUUGAAAGAGAUGUAAACAAACUCAAAACAGAACACCCAGAAAGCAGCAGGACCAGGCUCAGUGUCUCCAUCCACCCUGAAGCCCUGUGCUGAUCAGAGACAUGUCAUAUGCCAGCCUGCCUCCACAGGACUUAUCAUUACUGUUCCAUUUUUUUUAAAAAAGGGAUCACAAGCCGACCUGUUGCUCUGACCUCUGUAGUCAUGAAGAGUUUGACCGUCUGGUACUAUCACAUCUAAAAUCUAUCACUGUCCCCCUCCUGGACCCCCUGCAGUUCGCCUACAGAACCAACAGGAAAAGCUCUCCCAGCUGAAUGUAUCUGCUUCCACCUGCAGGUG